rnacentral:rRNA from 1 species
CCUACGAGAGGCAGCAGUGGGGGAUAUUGCACAAUGGGGGAAACCCUGAUGCAGCGACGCCGCGUGAGGGAAGACGGUUCUCGGAUUGUAAACCUCUGUCUUUGGGGAAGAAUUGAGACGGUACCAAAGGAUGAAGAUCCGGCGAACUACGUGCGAGCAGGCGCGGUAAUACGUAGGGAGCAAGCGUUGUCCGGAUAUACUGGGUGUAAAGGGAGCGUAGGCGGGAUAGUAAGUCGAUUGCAAAAGCUAGCGGCUCAACUGGUAGAGGCGAUCAAAACUGCAAUUCUUGAGUGAAGUAGAGGCAGGCGGAAUUCCUAGUGUAGCGGUGAAAUGCGUAGAUAUUAGGAGGAACACCAGUGGCGAAGGCGGCCUGCUGGGCUUUAACUGACGCUGAGGCUCGAAAGUGUGGGUAGCAAACAGGAUUAGAUACCCUGGUAGUC